rnacentral:lncRNA from 1 species
ACAGGUCAAUAGCACACCACACAAAAACAGAUUACUCGCUCAAAGCUAUAUUACGGUUUACGGAACUGAACGUUGCUGCUCCGCACUACGAGUUCCCCGGCACAUAGCUAACAUCACCAUGGCACGUGGUCCCACAUGUCAUUGAUACAGCAAAGUUGCAAGAGCCGGAGAAUAUCAUACUCUGUCAUCCAUACCAGGCAACACCAUUCUAUUCUUCAGACGAAGUACCUAGCACACCCUCCUUUAAUUUAAGAUUGAAUAGACCCCUUCUACAGCUCUAACCAGCAAUAAUAUCGAUAAUCCAGCACACCGCAAAACAAGAUUUCUGCAGAAAAAAUGGUUU